GACGAACGCUGGCGGCGUGCUUAACACAUGCAAGUCGAACGGUGACGCGCCUUCCUUUUUGGUGGGUGUGGCUGAGUGGCGAACGGGUGAGUAACACGUGAGUAACCUGCCCCCUUCUUCUGGAUAACCGCAUGAAAGUGUGGCUAAUACGGGAUAUUCUGCGUCUGUCGCAUGAUGGGUCUGGGAACGCUAUUGUUUCGGUGGGGGAUGGGCUGGCGGCCUAUCUGCUUGUUGGGGGGGUGAUGGCCUACCAAGGCGGUGACGGGUAGCCGGCAUGAGAGGGUGGGCGGCAACAGUGGGGCGGAGAGACCCAGCAGACUCCGACAGGAGGCAGUGGGGGAGAAUAGUGCACGGGGGGCGGAAGCAUGAUGCAGCGACGCGGCGGGGAGGAAGGAGUCCGGCGGGUAGAGAACUUCUGUUGCGAGUGAAGCAGGCCUGCCUAGUAUGUUGGUGGGUUGACGGUAGCUGAAGAAGAAGCGCCGGCUAACUACGUG
rnacentral:rRNA from 1 species